CAGGUUAGAGCUUGUUUAAAGCGUUUUAGUUACAUUAAAAGGUUAAUUGUGCGAAUCAAUUUAACUUGA
rnacentral:tRNA from 1 species